CAGUCGCCACGGGAAUACGAAGGGUGCAAGCGUUACUCGGAAUUACUGGGCGUAAAGCGUGCGUAGGUGGUGGUUUAAGUCCGUUGUGAAAGCCCCGGGCUCAACCUGGGAAUGGCAAUGGAUACUGGCGAGCUAGAGUGUGUCAGAGGAUGGUGGAAUUCCCGGUGUAGCGGUGAGAUGCGUAGAGAUCGGGAGGAACAUCAGUGGCGAAGGCGGCCAUCUGGGACAACACUGACGCUGAGGCACGAAAGCGUGGGGAGCAAGCAGGAUUAGAUACCCGCGUAGUCCCUGUCUCUUAUAC
rnacentral:rRNA from 1 species